AUACAACUCCCUCCAUCUGGAAUUACUUGUCGCAGUAAUGGAUGGAAAUGGAUGUAUCUAGAACUAAAAUACAUCAAGAUACAUCCAUUUCAGCGACAAGUAAUUCCGGACGGAGGGAGUAUGUU
rfam:Triticum aestivum genome assembly, contig: Triticum_aestivum_CS42_TGACv1_scaffold_432945_5DL